GAUGAACGCUGGCGGCGUGCCUAAUACAUGCAAGUCGAGCGAACAGACGAGGAGCUUGCUCCUCUGACGUUAGCGGCGGACGGGUGAGUAACACGUGGAUAACCUACCUAUAAGACUGGGAUAACUUCGGGAAACCGGAGCUAAUACCGGAUAAUAUAUUGAACCGCAUGGUUCAAUAGUGAAAGACGGUUUUGCUGUCACUUAUAGAUGGAUUCGCGCCGCAUUAGCUAGUUGGUAAGGUAACGGCUUACCAAGGCAACGAUGCGUAGACGAACUGGGAGCGUGAUCAGCCACACUAGAACUGAGACACGAUCCAGACGCCUACGGUAGGCAGCAUUGGGGAAUCGUCCGCAAUGGGCGAAAGCCUGACGGAGCAACGCCGAGUGAGUGAUGAAGGUCUUCGGAUCGUAAAACUCUGUUAUUAGGGAAAAACAAAUGUGUAAGUAACUAUGCACGUCUUGACGGUACCUAAUCAGAAAGCCACGGCUAACUACGUG
rnacentral:rRNA from 1 species